AAUUCCCUUCCUGUGCUUCUAGACUGUGUUACUCUCUUUUUAUACUCUGUGCUACAACCAUCCUGGUCAUGUUUCAGUUCCUCCAGCAAGAGGAUAUGAUAUGAGAACGUAUCAUAUCCUUCAUUCAGGAAUGACUGGUGACCUCUUCCUGGGAUUUAAAUCCCAACUCUAUCAAUAAACCCAUGACUGCUUUUCUUGUCAGCUGGUCUCCUGGUUUGAAGCUGUUGGCAGAAGCUGUGCCUUCAAGUUUACUAGGGCCCAUCCUUUGCCUUCUGGUGGAACAUUCCCUUGAGGAAAUCAGGACCUGUAGACCGCAGGACUUAAGAUAAUCGUUAUGAGCCUAACAGCGCUCCUGCACUGAUUCCCCAGCUUCACAACCUGGUCUCUAUGCCUACCAGCUGAUGGAGAAGGGUCUCUGCUCAGAGCCUCUGCCUUUGUGUGCACGUGGGCUCUGCAGCCCAAGUCACGUCAGUCUCCUUUGUGUGGGUUUUGAGAGUCUGAGAUAUUUUCUGCAAAGCAUGUCCCUUCAAGUCGUCCCUGGUAAUCAUCGACAAUUUCAUCUCUUAUAUCUAAUUCCCCACAUACCAGCUUCUAAUUGUAUGUGCAAGGUUAUUUUUAAAAAUUUUUCUGAGCUCUUGAUUGAAAGUAUUUAAAGAACUUUCUAGGGACCUUGUAAGCUCAGGGCAAAAUAAACCCAUAGAGUCUUUUCAUUCUAAGUUCUGCAUUGAUAUCUAGUCUAGGUCAAGAAUGAGUGACAGCAACAAC